rnacentral:rRNA from 1 species
ACGAACGCUGGCGGCAGGCUUAACACAUGCAAGUCGAACGGGCACUUCGGUGUCAGUGGCAGACGGGUGAGUAACACGUGGGAACGUACCCUUUGGUUCGGGAUAACGCAGGGAAACUUGUGCUAAUACCGGAUACGCCCUUUGGGGGAAAGGUUUACUGCCGAAGGAUCGGCCCGCGUCCGAUUAGCUAGUUGGUGUUGGUAAUGGCUCACCAAGGCGACGAUCGGUAGCUGGUCUGAGAGGAUGACCAGCCACAUUGGGACUGAGACACGGCCCAAACUCCUACGGGAGGCAGCAGUGGGGAAUAUUGGACAAUGGGCGCAAGCCUGAUCCAGCCAUGCCGCGUGAGUGAUGACGGCCUUAGGGUUGUAAAGCUCUUUCGCGCACGACGAUAAUGACGGUAGUGCGAGAAGAAGCCCCGGCUAACUUCGUGCCAGCAGCCGCGGUAAUACGAAGGGGGCUAGCGUUGUUCGGAUUAACUGGGCGUAAAGGGUGCGUAGGCGGGUUUUUAAGUCAGGGGUGAAAUCCCAAGGCUCAACCUUGGAACUGCCUUUGAUACUGGAAAUCUUGAGUCCGGGAGAGGUGAGUGGAACUGCGAGUGUAGAGGUGAAAUUCGUAGAUAUUCG